AUCUGUGGCCAUACUACCCUGAACGCUCCCAAUCUCUCUGAUUUUGGCAGAUAAGCCGCAGGGUAGGGCCGGCCUGGUUGGGGCGUGGAUUGGAGGCUGCCUGGGAAUACCAAGGGCUGUAGACU
rnacentral:rRNA from 1 species